rnacentral:rRNA from 1 species
UACGGAGGGUGCAAGCGUUAUCCGGAUUUACUGGGUUUAAAGGGUGCGUAGGCGGGUUGGUAAGUCAGUGGUGAAAUCUUCAAGCUUAACUUGGAAACUGCCGUUGAUACUAUCAAUCUUGAAUAUUGUGGAGGUAAGCGGAAUAUGUCAUGUAGCGGUGAAAUGCUUAGAUAUGACAUAGAACACCGAUAGCGAAGGCAGCUUGCUACACAGUAAUUGACGCUGAGGCACGAAAGCGUGGGGAUCAAACAGG